GACGAACGCUGGCGGCGUGCUUAACACAUGCAAGUCGAACGGAAAGGCCCUGCUUUUGUUGGGUGCUCGAGUGGCGAACGGGUGAGUAACACGUGAGUAACCUGCCCUUGACUUUGGGAUAACUUCAGGAAACUUGGGCUAAUACCGGAUAGGAGCUCCUGCUGCAUGGUGGGGGUUGGAAAGUUUCGGCGGUUGGGGAUGGACUCGCGGCUUAUCAGCUUGUUGGUGGGGUAGUGGCUUACCAAGGCUUUGACGGGUAGCCGGCCUGAGACGGUGACCGGACACAUUGGGACUGAGAUAAGGCCCAGAGUCCUACGGGAGGCAGCAGUGGGGAAUAUUGCACAAUGGGCGGAAGCGUGAUGCAGAAACGCAGCGUGCGGGAUGACGGCCUUCGGGUUGUAAACCGCUUUGGCAUGUGACGAAGCGUGAGUGACGAUAAUGGGUAAAGAAGCAACGGCUAACUACGUG
rnacentral:rRNA from 1 species